AACCUAGCACACCUGCGGUGUGUACCUGCGGAGGGAUCAUUACCGAGUUUACAAACUCCCAACCCCUUGUGAACCUUACCAUAUUGUUGCUUCGGCGGGACCGCCCCGGCGCCUUCGGGCCCGGAACCAGGCGCCCGCCGGAGGCCCCAAACUCUUAUGUCUUUAGUGGUUUUCUCCUCUGAGUGACACAUAAACAAAUAAAUAAAAACUUUCAACAACGGAUCUCAGAUCGGAAGAGCA
rnacentral:misc_RNA from 1 species